rnacentral:rRNA from 1 species
CUACGAAGGGGGCUAGCGUUGUUCGGAAUUACUGGGCGUAAAGCGCGUGUAGGCGGAUCGUUAAGUCAGGGGUGAAAGCCCGGGGCUCAACCCCGGAACUGCCCUUGAUACUGGCGAUCUAGAGUCCGGAAGAGGUGGGCGGAAUUCCCGGUGUAGAGGUGAAAUUCGUAGAUAUCGGGAGGAACACCAGUGGCGAAGGCGGCUCACUGGUCCGGUACUGACGCUGAGACGCGAAAGCGUGGGGAGCAAACAGGAUUAGAAACCCCAGUAGUCC